rnacentral:rRNA from 1 species
UACGUAGGUGGCAAGCGUUGUUCGGAAUCACUGGGCGUAAAGGGAGCGUAGGCGGCGUGGUAAGUCAGAUGUGAAAUCCCGGGGCUCAACCCCGGAACUGCAUCCGAUACUGCCAUGCUAGAGGAUUGGAGAGGUAGCUGGAAUUCUUGGUGUAGCAGUGAAAUGCGUAGAGAUCAAGAGGAACACUCGUGGCGAAAGCGGCUUUCUGGACACUAACUGACGCUGAGACGCGAAAGCGUGGGGAGCAAACAGG